UUUGAGAGAAGGGAUGACACAGUAGGAUAAGCUAAGCACACUGUUGGUUAUGUGUGCCCAAGCAUUGAGGCAGUCAAAGUAGGCAAAUCCGCUUUGAUAAUGCUGGGAUGUGAUGGGGAGCGAAAUUUAGUAGCGAAGUAGCUGAUUUCACACUGUCAAGAAAAGUCUCUAUCGAGGUUAAAGGUACCCGUACCGCAAACCGACACAGGUGGGUGAGGAGAGUAUCCUAAGGCCAGCGAGAGAACGGUUGUUAAGGAACUCGGCAAAAUGACCCCGUAACUUAGGGAUAAGGGGUGC
rnacentral:rRNA from 1 species